UCCCCCUUGUAGUAGGUUUUGGAUGCUGGAUACUCCAUUCCCUCAUCGAAUAGCUGUUUGAAGCUUGAAGCCACCAGAUGAAGCUCCUCUUCAUCACAGGCGUACACCUGUUGGUCCUCAAAGGUCAUCAGAACGAGCUGGUCACAUGGACAUGAGAUGCCCUCCACCACGCCAACAACUUGCAUGGUUACAGUCUUUGGAAGCUUUGAGCUUGGGUGUAGAAGCUGCUGCCUCUGCACUGAAACAUCAACCAUCCUGGGUGGGUACAUCCUGUGUGGCAGUUUGGUUUAAGGCUUCAGUCUGCAGUCAUUCACACAUCUGAGAGUGAGUCAGCCUACUUCAUGUCUGCUUGCUCCUUUGGAUUUUCUUCCUGUGGACACACAUGUGGGCCGUCUUCAACUCCUUCCAGCUCUUUGUGGUAUACAAGAGGGUUUAUUGUCCAAAUCCAACAAGUCCCUGGCAGCCGCUGAAAACUGCUCAGCAUCUUUGAUUUAUGUCCUUCAAAUCCAAAACCUUCACCUCUCUCUAAAACUUUCUUAUCAUCUUUUCUUUAUUUAACCUGUUAGUGCCAAAUCUUCUUUUAACAAGUGUUUAAGAAGAGUUUUUCAUGACCCUGAUCUCUCAUUUUACUCAGAUUUGAAACCCCAACAUUUCUAAUCUGUAAUUUAUCAAAAUAAAAGCCUAAAAAAUGUUUACACUUUCAGCAGCAGAGACAAAUAAAAACUUCCUCUCACUUAAACUGUGCUGAGCGGUGCCGAACUGAGGUGUAAAACUAUUUACACGACUCACUAGAACAAAACUUAGUAAGAAUACAGCGGGUAAGAAACUGGUUCUUACCCGCUGUCGAGCAAUUUGUCUGUUGCCAUUCUAAUUCUCCGUCACCUACAAAAUAAAGUUUGAAUCAUUAGAAUGAACUUUCGAUUAAUAUAUCAAACCUUUAUUGAUUCACUGACACAUGAAUAAAAUACAAUAGGAUAAAAUAAUUUUUCACAUUUUGCUCACAGCAGUGAAAAUAACAGCCACUAAACUGGAGCUCAUUACUUUUUUUGUGAGUGUGACUGCACCGCACUGGCACAAAGCCUUCAGAUUAAAAAACUAAAACAAACCGUAAACUGAGUUUAACAGUGGAAACAGCAAAAUCCUACAUUAAUAAUAAUCAAGUCAUCUUUUCUGAGAACAUUUGCGAAGCAUAUAAGCCGAAGAUAAAUCUGGGUGUCGUCAGCAUAAGAGUGAAAGCAGCUGUUAUGCUUCUUAAAAAUUAGGCCUAAGGGUAGCAUAUAGAUUGAAAAGAGAAUUGGGCCUAAUACGGAACUCUACAGGACACCACAAGUAAAUGGAGCUGUGGAGGAAGUAAAAUCAUCAAGGCUCACGGGAAAAAGUCCUCUCGGAGAGGUAGGACCUAAGCCAUUACAAAAGGGAUACCUUUGAUACCACAUUGCUCCAAUUGCGAGAUCAGAAUGCUGUGGUCGACGUUAUCAAAGGCUGCAGUUAAGUCUAAAAGCAGGAGCACAGCUGAAUCACCUGAAUCGGUGAUUAAUAAAAUAUUAAGAAUUUUUAGGAGGGCAGUUUCUGUACUGUGGUAGGAUUUGAAGCCCCACUGGAAUUUCUCUAGAAUAUUAUGACAAUUUAGAAAGGAUUGUAACUGCUCAAAUACAAUUCUUUCCAAAACUUUUGACAGAAAUGGAAGCUUGGAAAUAGGUCUGAAAUUAGCAAGAACAGAGGAGUCAAGGUUGGGUUUUUAAAGUACUGGCUGUACUACGGCAUGUUUGAAACCAGUUGGUACCACUCCAGAGCUAAGACUACUAUUAAAAAUGGUUACCAUUUCGGAGCCGACAACCUAAAUCUUUUUUAGAAAAUGUGUUGGGACUCCAUCUGUGGGGCAGGAUGAUGUCUUUAUACUAUUACAAAGAUCUUCCAUUUGGUUAAAACAUACAGACUCAAACUGGUCAAAAGCAGUAGAGAAGGUAUAUGUUAUAAAGACAUCAUACGGGGACAGAAUAGGCACGGGUCGAAGCAUUUCUAUCCAAUUAAUAAAAAAACUGCAAGAAUCUCUUGCAAGUUUCAGCAGAGCUAUACAUAUGAGAGGCGGGAGAGGUUUUCAGGGCCAAAUCAAUAAUUGAAAAGAGUUUGGGGAUUAUUAGAGUUGUUCUCAAUAGUGUUUGCGAGAAAGUUAGAUUUUUCAGCUUUCACAAUGUCCUGAUAUCUAUAUUGACUCUCUCUCAGCAGCAGAAAAUAAACUUGACCUUAAACGUAACCUGUCUUUUUUUUCCAUUUUCGUUCGGCCUUCCUGCACUGUCAUCUAGCUGAUCGGGUCGUCUCGUUUAUCUGCGGGUCAAAUUUAGUUGUUGGUCGCGCUAGUUUAAACGGGGCAAUCUCAUCAAGAAUAGCCUUGCAUUUACUAGUAAAGUUCGAUUCGAUCUGCUCAGUGCCGUCGCCAAGGGAAGAACCCGACCAUUUUUGAAAGGCAAUGGAGAAGUGUUCUAUAGCCGAUGGUUUAAAAACACGAUAACGGUGUGUUUGGGAUUGAUUUAAAAUGGCAGUGGGAUAAAAGUAUGUUAAACACAAUGGUCAGAGAAAAUCACAUCACAUAUUUCCAAGUUAGAAAUUGGUAAUCCAGAAGACAACAGAAGGUCCAACGUAUGGCCCUGUACAUGUGUUGGAUCCAGUACAUGCUGGGUGAGACUGAAAGAGUCUAUCACAUUUAAAGUCCUUAGCCCCUACGAUUCAGAUUUGAUCAUAACUUAGGAUGAGGUUUAGGUUUUGAAUUAGUUGUCUUCUUUCUUUCUAAUACUGACAGUGUAAUAUAACAUGCUCUACUGUCUCAUCAUCCCCACAGUGCUCACAUUUCCCGUUACAGUGUUUCCCCUAAAAUGAACUGUGCUGUUUAGACCAGUGAGCCCAAAUCUGAGCCAUAAAAUGAUUGUUUCUUCUCUUUUCUUCUGUCUCCUUCUCAUUUCUCCAGUUUUCCUUUGGAUUUUAUAAAACCAUCGCCUUUUUCUUUCUUUCUCCCAUUGAUUUUGCCAUCUUUCCUUCAUUUUCUGUUUUAAUAUUUUAUUUCUGUUUUACUAAAGCUGAUCCUUGGUUCCACUAAUCUUUUUCCAGUGGCCUCCUUUGCAGACUUAUCUGCCAUUUCAUUUCCCUUAACACCGUAAUAUGCUGGUACCCAUAAAAAGUUAACCAUUAGUCCUAACCCUAACCUUAACUUCCAUCAUGUUUAGUUUAUGUAGCGUUUGUUGAAUUUCUAUUAAGAUGUCUGAUCUACUUUCUGAAUGGUUGCAUUGUAAACUUACUAAUGAUGAACUGGAAUUUGAACAAAUGACUGAUCUUAAUGGUCUUGUGUCUUUUAACUCUCUGGACGGCUGAUAACACCACAAGCACUUCUCCUGUGUAUCCAUCAUUUAUCCUUUUCCCUACUUUGUUAUUAAACUCUAAUAUGAUCAAAGCUACUCCAACUCUAAUAGAUACACUCUUAGAUGCAUCUGUAUAAUUUUUUAAAUAAUUGUAAAAUUAACUAAUAUACUUCUAUACUGUAUGCACAUUUAAAAUAAAUUCCUGUAUCCUUUAUCCAUCUGUACGGUCACCCUGUGAUGCCCAUCUUCUUCACUUUAAUUAAUAACCCUCCCUCCACAUCAUAUCAUUUUAAUAUCAACAAACACUGCUACAAUACUUUCUUUAUUUACUCAGGCUUUCCUAAUUUCAAAUUCCAAACUUGAAACACGCUGGAUGCAGUUUUUACCUCACCUAAAACCACUUUGAUAUUGUAAUAUCUACACCUUUUUUCUAUAUAGUAUAUCAGUCUUUCAUUAAUUGUUUUCUCCAUUAUUUUGCAUACAUUAGAAGUUAGACCAAUUGGUCUGUAAUGUUCUGAUUUUGUAUCAUCUUUACCUGGCUUGCAUAUCGGUAGUAUUAUUGCUUCUUUCCAGCUUUGUGGUAAUUUCGUAUCUUCCCAAAGCUUGUAAAGCUCCAAUAAUAUGACUUUAGAUGACUCACUAAGAUCACUCAUCAUUAUAUAACAGAUUUCAUCUUUCCCUGGUGUUGUUAACCUUUAUUUCUGAAGUCUUGAUUUAACUGAUUUUGAAAAAGGUGCAUUUAGUAAAUCAUUUACAUCCUCUUCAUGUUUUAAUAACUCUCUAUUCUCUGACACUAUCCUUUCUUUUUCCUUCUACAGAAAUAUUAUCUUAACUAUGUCUUUUAACAAAUGUUUUAGCUGUCACAUCUGCUUUUUCUUCAUCUUUUACUGCUGUAACUUCACCAUCACCUAAGAUUGGAUACCCAUAUUCUGUUUUAAUCCCACCCAUUCUUCUUAUCAUUGUCCAUACUUGUCCUGUAAAAUAUCACAACACACAGAGAAAUUUAAAUGAUCAACUUCUGUAUUCCAAUUAAUUUCAUCCAAUUCCUGGUUUGGGAAGCAUUUAGGCUUCUUACAAUCUUCACUACCGAAACACCAUUUCUGAAAACCACCUGCGUCAGACUUUUCAACACCCACAUUUAUUUCAGUUAUUAUAUGAUAGUGGUCACUUCCUAGUGUUUUAUCUUUAAGUACCUGCCAUGUUCUCAGUCCUGCUAGUAAAUCUUAAAGUAUUGUGUGAUCAGUUACUGAUUUCAUACCUGUUCUCAUGUUAACUCUUGUACCCCCCUUCCAACAUUUAAACAAAUAAAAUUUCCAUUGUCCAUUAAUUUCUCAAUUACUGUUUCAUUGUGGUCAUUAGUACCCCAUAAUGAACUGUGUGCAUUAAAAUCGCCACACCAACAUACUUUUCUAUUUAAAUGGAUAUCAAAGUUAUCCAUUCAUUCAGGUGAAAGCCUUUUGCAUGGGUUUUAAAAAUGUACAGUUUUGAUGCUGUUCUUAUUCCAAACUUCAACUAUAUAUUCUGUGUUCCUUUUGCUAUAAUAAAGUUGCACAACCUCCUCCAUGAACCUCACUUCUGCCUCUGUGUACACCACUAUAUCGUCUGAUUACAAAAUCUAAAGUCUGUUUUAGCCAAGUUUCCUGAAUACAGAUUAUGUCUGGUUUCUUAUUUAGAGUCUUAAAGUCAUUUCAGCCUCAUCUUGACUCAAUUAUUUACAUCAUCUCCAAGAUCCAAAUGUGACACAUUAUCCUUUUAAAGAUAUAAAUAAGUUUCUAGAGGUCAUCCACCGUCAACCAGCCCCUUUCUUUACCGUGAAAAGGUACAUAAACCAGUACUGGAAAUUUUUUAGGAUGAUCACACUCUUAAAAGUAAAAAAGUAGAUUGACUUAUAAUAGUUAAAAUCAACUAUGCACUCUGUCAGAGAAAAAACGU